AAGGAGCUUUGGAUGCCAGCCAGGGAAAGAGGUAAAAUACAAAGAUCUCAAGGACCAGAUGUUCUUCAGGUAGAAAGGAAAUGACACAUGGAGAGCUGAUUGCGUUUACCCUCCAAGUGCACUGAUAAUAGGAAGAACACUGAAUAGAAGCUAAUGAACUCCAGCUCUUGCAGCAAGUCUCUGCACGCCCGGGAGACAUUUUGCCAUUGCUGAAAGAUUUGGCAGGAAUGAGUGAAGUUCAAGGAAGCAGAUUACAAUCUCUGAACCAGCUGAGGUGGGACCAUGAAAGAUGAGAACAUGAGAAGAACUGAUGAAAACUGAAGAUACUAUGAUGUCACCAAGUUAUCCGGGAUGCUAUUGAACUUUUGCCCAAGGGGUUGACUGGGAUGGUUUCAAUGAACAGUGGUAAACACUACUCAGGCAUCUGGUGUUUCCUGGUGAGAUUUGUCAAUGUCUGCAUUGUGCCUCUUAGAGACAGCAUUGGCAUCCUUUUCCACACCCUUACAUACACUCAGUGAUCUCAACAAGAAGGAAAUUUCUACAUCCUCUUACCUUCUUAGGCCAUCAUUCAGACCCAGAAGUACAAGCUUCUUUCUGAGAAAAAGAUUUUAGACACAGCCACUUUAUCUAACAGUCCUGUGUCAUUUUGUGCUUUUAUUUGAAUCAUUUGCAAGGCCCAAGCAUUUAGCUGAUGCUCUGGUCUUCACAUAUGAGUUCUUUCCCUUGGCUUUUGGUAAGGGAUGCUCUUGGCUUCCCACAAAAAUCUCUCUAAAGAACUUUCUCUUCUCCAUAUGUUGUCCUUUAUACUUACAUCACCUUCUGUUUCUGGUUGUGUGUUCAGGGACGUGGGGUUUACUGUAAAGCCAAAUUUCGAUUUAAUCUGUCAUAGUAAGCCCUGCGGGAGGUCAUAGCUUUAUAGAAUUUAGGAUUUAUUAUCUUUAGCUAUGGGUCUUGGCCUUGGUUUCAGGAAUGUAAAAAAAAGUUUACUCAACAUCCUGUCAUAAUCCCUGAUGGGAGAUUAAUAGACAUUUCUGAGCAAAAAAAAACAGUUGUUGUUAGUUAUUUAUAUAAUGUACUAAUAUUUUAAAAUAAAUUAUUAUAAAUGAGUCUACUAGCUCAUCUCCAUUCCUUUGUGUCAACUGCCAACCCACAGAAACACUUUCUACCAGGGACCCCCAGCUGCUACACUGGACUGAAACUCAGGUAUGGAAUUUUUAUUAUCUUCCUAUUAUCCAUUAUGAUAUCUCCAGACUUGUGCCUAUUCUUAUACCAACAAACUAGCAGAAGCACCUCCUUCAAGACCACCUCUGUUAUUGGGAACUCUGUCUUUUGGUAUGAACCCUGGCCCCUCUAGCUCUUUCCCAGAGCUCCUCUCAGCCUAUACUCCUAUACCAUCUCCAUUUUUCUGCUACCCAUUGGCCCACAGAAUCUCUCUCUACCAGGGACUCGCCAGACAUCACACUUGCCUAUGUUCCAGAGAGACAACAACCAAACAGCAGAAUACCCACCCAACAAGGACAAGACUAAGUAUCAACACCAAGUAAUACCUCAAGCAUCAUAACUCCAGUUACCUAAAUCCUAGCUCAAAAACAUAAGCAUUAACAGCCAAGACAACCUGCUCUACCAGUGAUCCUAUCGGAGUAGGUUCCAGGAAACGCAAUGUAGUAGAAACACAAAGGCCAAAAUUACAGUUAUGAAUGUGUUCAAGGACCCCAAAGAAGGGUCUGUGAGUCCAUGAAAACACAACCAACAGAAUAACACACUGAAAAUUAUUUAAGACAUGAAAAUAGAAUUAAAGAAGGAGAUAGAAUAACUAAAGGAAAUAUAAAUUGCAAUAAAAUUGGAAAUAAAAAAUUAAAAUGUCAAACACAAACCUCAGAGUAAGCCUUAUGAACAGAUUAUAAGACAUGGAAGGGAGAAUAUCAGACAUU